rnacentral:rRNA from 1 species
GAUGUUAGCUUGGAAGCAGCUAUUCAUUUAAAGAGUGCGUAACAGCUCACUGGUCGAGCGAGGCGGGCAUCGAUAAUAAACGGGCAUCAAGUAUAGUACCGAAGCUUUGGAUUAUGUAGCGAUACAUACUGGUAGGGGAGCAUUCUGAUAGCGAUGAAGGUGAAUCGACAAGGUUUGCUGGAGUGAUCAGAAAAGCAAAUGUAGGGAUAAGUAACGAUAAUGGGGGCGAGAAACCCCCACGCCGAAAAGUCAAGGAUUCCUCAGCUAUGCUAAUCAACUGAGGGUUAGUCGGGGGCUAAGGGUCUAGCGAGAGCGACAAUCUAAUGCACAUCAGGUUAAUAUUCCUGAACUUACUAUUAGGGAAACACGAUGACGGAGAUUCGUGGUUGGCAGGUACUGACGGAAUAGUGCCUCUGAGUGGAAGCCGCAAGGCAGAUGCGAGUUAGCGAAGAAACUUCCAAGAAAAGUUGUGAAUCAUAACUUAAUAGUAACCCGUACCGUAAACCGACACAGGUGACUGGGAAGAAUAUUCUAAGGCGCUCGAGUGAAUCACGGCUAAGGAACUCGGCAAAUUAACCCUGUAACUUCGGGAUAAAGGGAGCCUACUCAGCGAUGAGAGGCCGCAGAGAAUUGGUCCAGGCGACUGUUUAACAAAAACACAUGGCUUUGCAAAAACGAAAGUUGACGUAUAAGGCCUGACACCUGCCCGGUGCUGGAAGGUUAAGAGGGGAUGUUAGCGCAAGCGAAGCAUUGAAUCGAAGCCCCAGUAAACGGCGGCCGUAACUAUAACGGUCCUAAGGUAGCGAAAUUCCUUGUCGGGUAAGUUCCGACCUGCACGAAUGGUGUAACGAUCUGGACACUGUCUCAGCCGUGAGCUCGGUGAAAUUGUAGUAACGGUGAAGAUGCCGUUUACCCGCAACGGGACGGAAAGACCCCAUGAACCUUUACUAUAGCUUAGCAUUGAGUUCUGGUACUGGAUGUGUAGGAUAGGUGGGAGACUGUGAGAUGGUGUCGCUAGGCAUCAUGGAGUCAACGUUGAAAUACCACCCUUCUUGUACUGGAAUUCUAACCUAAAUAGGGACAUUGCUUGGUGGGUAGUUUGACUGGGGUGGUCGCCUCCAAAAGGAUAACGGAGGCUUUCAAAGGUAC